AUUGAACGCUGGCGGCAGGCCUAACACAUGCAAGUCGAACGAGUGGCGGACGGGUGAGUAAUGUCUGGGAAACUGCCUGAUGGAGGGGGAUAACUACUGGAAACGGUAGCUAAUACCGCAUACCAUCAGAUGUGCCCAGAUGGGAUUAGCUAGUUGGUGGGGUAACGGCUCACCAAGGCGACGAUCCCUAGCUGGUCUGAGAGGAUGCCCAGCCACACUGGAACUGAGACACGUUCCAGACUCCUACGGGGGGCAGCAGUGGGGAAUAUUGCCAAAUGGGCGCAAGCCUGAGGCAGCCAUGCCGGGUGUAUGAAGAAGGCCUUCGGGUUGUAAAGUACUUUCAGCGGGGAGGCGUUACCCGAAGAAGAAGCACCGGCUAACUCCGUGCAAGCAGCCGCGUAAUUC
rnacentral:rRNA from 1 species